rnacentral:rRNA from 1 species
AUGAAAAAAAACUUUGAAAAGAGAGUUAAAUAGUACGUGAAAUUGUUGAAAGGGAAGCACUUAUGACCAGACUUGGCCCCGGUGAAUCAUCCAGCGGUUCCCGCUGGUGCACUUUGCCGGGGUUCAGGCCAGCAUCAGUUCGCUCCGGGGGAUAAAGGCUUUGGGAAUGUGGCUCCCUCGGGAGUGUUAUAGCCCAUUGCGUAAUACCCUGUGGCGGGCUGAGGUUCGCGCUUUAUGCAAGGAUGCUGGCAUAAUGGUCAUCAGUGACCCGUCUUGAAACACGGACCAAGGAGUCGUCUUCGUAUGCGAGUGUUCGGGUGUUAAACCCCUACGCGUAAUGAAAGUGAACGCAGGUGAGAGCCCUCCAGGGCGCAUCAUCGACCGAUCCUGAUGUUCUCGGAUGGAUUUGAGUAAGAGCAUACGGGGCCGGACCCGAAAGAAGGUGAACUAUGCCUGUAUAGGGUGAAGCCAGAGGAAACUCUGGUGGAGGCUCGCAGCGGUUCUGACGUGCAAAUCGAUCGUCAAAUAUGGGCAUGGGGGCGAAAGACUAAUCGAACCUUCUAGUAGCUGGUUUCCGCCGAAGUUUCCCCUCAGGAUA